rnacentral:rRNA from 1 species
GACGUAGGAUGCGAGCGUUGUUCGGAAUUAUUGGGCGUAAAGCGUGCGUAGGCGGCGAUCUAAGUCUGGUGUUAAAGCUAGGGGCUCAACCCCUGUGAUGCACUGGAAACUGGGUCGCUUGAGUGUGGUAGGGGAAGGUGGAAUUCCGAGUGUAGCGGUGAAAUGCGUAGAUAUUCGGAAGAACACCGGUGGCGAAGGCGACCUUCUGGGCCACUACUGACGCUGAGGCACGAAAGCGUGGGGAGCAAACGGG